UGGGGAAUAUUGCACAAUGGGCGCAAGCCUGAUGCAGCAACGCCGCGUGAGCGAGGAAGGCCUUCGGGUCGUAAAGCUCUGUCCUAGGGGAAGAAGAAGUGACGGUACCCAAGGAGGAAGCCCCGGCUAACUACGUGCCAGCAGCCGCGGUAAUACGUAGGGGGCGAGCGUUAUCCGGAAUUAUUGGGCGUAAAGAGUACGUAGGUGGUUUUGUAAGCGCGGGGUGAAAGGCAGUGGCUUAACCAUUGUUAGCCUUGCGAACUGCAAGACUUGAGUGCAGGAGAGGGAAGCGGAAUUCCUAGUGUAGCGGUGAAAUGCGUAGAUAUUAGGAGGAACACCAGUGGCGAAGGCGGCUUUCUGGACUGUAACUGACACUGAGGUACGAAAGCGUGGGGAGCAAACAGGAUUAGAUACCC
rnacentral:rRNA from 1 species